rnacentral:lncRNA from 1 species
AUGACAACACAACUCAGGGCUAUUUAUGUCUGCCUCUUACAUGUCCCUCUGUGCCAUUACCCCAAGGCUGAGGUGUGCUGGCGCUGUAGGGAUCCUGACUAUACCAUCAUUCCCUCGGAAACCAACAGGCCGUCAUGCUGCACAGGCCAGGCCCACUGCAACCCGACCCAUGAGACCCAUGCUUUUCCCAGGCUACCUCCCUGCCCCUGGAGUUACAGGUUUGGAAUAUUCUGCAUGGACAGGGUUAAGUAUCCCUCAUAUUCCGAGAAUACAUUUAUAAGGUGCUAAUAAUACACAACUGUGAUCUUCAUAACCAGCCUAUGAAGUGAGGCAGGACAGAGGUUAUUAUUGACCCAUUUUGCAGAUGGUACCAAGACGCAGAGAGGUGAAGUGACUUGCAAAAGGCCACAUGGCUAAGAAGAUCUUCUGUGGGGCCUAUUUAUUCUCCACUAUUCUAAAUUUCAUUGAUUCCUUUGAAAAUUCAUUAAAUGGCUGCUUUAUUGACUGGCUACUGCUUAGGCCCAUUAUCUGGUGAAACCGGAGGGAGGUGAAUUCUCUCAGAAGGAAAGACGGGGUCCUAACCCUCUCCUGAAUUUGUGGGACAAAGUGACUGCAUUCAUUAGUGAAGAAGGAAGUCAGAUGAGUUAGAACUGCUCAUUUGGUGGUUUCUAUCAUUAGCAUCUCACUAUGCCAGUAAGUGGGCUGUUGGAGCCUGAAGUGGGGCCUCCCUCUGAAGGUGAGAGUGAACUCCAAGCUUUAGGCACAGCGAGGGCACAUCUCGGAGCACAGCGUUUUAGGAUUCUCCCUUUAAUUCUGCAAACCCAGCUCAGAGGGGGCACAACAAAUUUGUGCACCUCUCAGAGACUCAGUUUCUGUGUCCAUGAAACGGAGGUGAUAAAUCCUUCCCAGCUUACCUCAAGGGGUGGUUGUGAGGGUCACAUAUUAUGAUGGAAGUGACACUGCUCUGGAAACUGAAAGUGCUAGCCGAAAAUCAGGGGGCAUCAUUUUUACUCUUGUUAUUACACUUCCUUAACCAUGAACGGUCUUAGAGGAGGGAAGGAAGCCCAGCCCAGCAUUCUUUUCCUAAAAGUGCCUCCAAGAACGUUAUGCAAGAGGACACAUAGCCACAAAGUGUGCAUAAUCACAGUUCCCACCCUACCUACCUGUCGGAACACUGAAGAGGAUUAAGUGAGACGAUGACGCGAGGGCAUUUUAAAAGUAUAACAAUCGCU